rnacentral:rRNA from 1 species
CAACCCAUAACAAUGGAUCUCUUGGCUCCGGCAUCGAUGAAGAACGCAGCGAAAUGCGAUACGUAGUACGAAUUGCAGCUCUAGUGAAUCAUCGAAUCUUUGAACGCAUAUUGCGCCCCGCGGCAUUCCGCGGGGCACGUCCGACCGAGCGCCGCUG